rnacentral:rRNA from 1 species
AUUGAACGCUGGCGGCAUGCCUUACACAUGCAAGUCGAACGGCAGCGCGGACUUCGGUCUGGCGGCGAGUGGCGAACGGGUGAGUAAUACAUCGGAACGUACCCUGUUGUGGGGGAUAACUAGUCGAAAGAUUAGCUAAUACCGCAUACGACCUGAGGGUGAAAGUGGGGGACCGCAAGGCCUCACGCAGCAGGAGCGGCCGAUGUCUGAUUAGCUAGUUGGUGGGGUAAAGGCCCACCAAGGCGACGAUCAGUAGCUGGUCUGAGAGGACGAUCAGCCACACGGGGACUGAGACACGGCCCAGACUCCUACGGGAGGCAGCAGUGGGGAAUUUUGGACAAUGGGGGCAACCCUGAUCCAGCAAUGCCGCGUGUGUGAAGAAGGCCUUCGGGUUGUAAAGCACUUUUGUCCGGAAAGAAAUCGCGCUGGUUAAUACCUGGCGUGGAUGACGGUACCGGAAGAAUAAGCACCGGCUAACUACGUGCCAGCAGCCGCCGCGG